rnacentral:rRNA from 1 species
UACAGAGACCUCGAGCGUUAUCCGGAUUUAUUGGGCGUAAAGGGUCCGCAGGCGGUCUAACACGUCUCUCGUUAAAUGGUUCGGCUCAACCGAACCACUGCGUGAGAUACGGUUAGGCUAGAGGCUGGGAGAGGUAUGCGGAAUUGCUGGUGUAGUAGUAAAAUGCGUUAAUAUCAGCAAGAACACCAAAGGCGAAAGCAGCAUACUGGAACAGUUCUGACGCUCAGGGACGAAAGCGUGGGGAGCGAAA